rnacentral:rRNA from 1 species
GACGAACGCUGGCGGCGUGCUUAACACAUGCAAGUCGAGCGGAAAGGCCCUUUCGGGGGUACUCGAGCGGCGAACGGGUGAGUAACACGUGAGUAAUCUGCCCUUCACUUGGGGAUAACUACCGGAAACGGUGGCUAAUACCCGAUAUGACCAAUCACUGCAUGGUGUGUUGGUGGAAAGUUUUUUCGGUGGAGGAUGUGCUCGCGGCCUAUCAGCUUGUUGGUGGGGUAAUGGCCUACCAAGGCUUCGACGGGUAGCCGGCCUGAGAGGGUGACCGGCCACACUGGGACUGAGACACGGCCCAGACUCAUACGGGAGGCAGCAGUGGGGAAUAUUGGACAAUGGGCGAAAGCCUGAUCCAGCAACGCCGCGUGAGGGAUGACGGCCUUCGGGUUGUACACCUCUUUCAGCGGGGACGAAGCGCCGGUAAUGGUGGUGACGGUACCCGCAGAAGAAGCACCGGCCAACUACGUGCCAGCAGCGGCCGCGG